GACGAACGCUGGCGGCGUGCCUAAUACAUGCAAGUCGAACGCAGUUGCGAACGGGUGAGUAACGCGUAGGUAACUGCCUCAUAGCGGGGGAUAACUUUUGGAAACGAUAGCUAAUACCGCAUACUGUGAGAUGGACCUGCGUUGUAUUAGCUAGUUGGUGAGGUAAAGGCUCACCAAGGCGACGAUAGAUAGCCGACCUGAGAGGGUGAUCCGCCCACAUGGGAACGAGGACCCGCCCCGACUCCUUCGGGAGGGAGGAGGAGGGAAUCUUUGGGAAUGGGCGGAAGUCUUACCGAGCAAAGGCGCGGGAGUGGAGGAGGGUUUCGGAGCGGAAAGCUCCUUUGUGUGGGAAGCGGUAACUAACCAGAAAGGGACGGCUAACUACGUGCCAGCAGCCGCGGUAAUAC
rnacentral:rRNA from 1 species